rnacentral:piRNA from 1 species
UCCACAUGAGUAUUGAGACUGGUGCAGUUA